rnacentral:miRNA from 1 species
AUUGGAUAGGAUUGGAUAACU